CCUACGGGAGGCAGCAGUAAGGAAUAUUGGUCAAUGGGCGCAAGCCUGAACCAGCCAUGCCGCGUGCAGGAAGACGGCCCUACGGGUUGUAAACUGCUUUUGUACCGGAAUAAACCCUUUUACGUGUAAGAGGCUGAAUGUACGGUAAGAAUAAGGAUCGGCUAACUCCGUGCCAGCAGCCGCGGUAAUACGGAGGAUCCAAGCGUUAUCCGGAUUUAUUGGGUUUAAAGGGUGCGUAGGUGGCUUUUUAAGUCAGGGGUGAAAGACGGUAGCUUAACUAUCGCAGUGCCUUUGAUACUGAAGAGCUUGAAUGAACUAGAGGUAGGCGGAAUGUGACAAGUAGCGGUGAAAUGCAUAGAUAUGUCACAGAACACCAAUUUGCGAAGGCAGCUUUACUAUGGUUUUAAUUGACACUGAGGCACGAAAGCGUUGGGGAUCAAACAGGAUUAGAUACCCUGGUAGUCCACGCCCUAAACGAUANAUACUACAUGUGUCGAUAUACGUACGAGCGUCGUACGACGAACGACGUUAAGUUAGUUACUACCGUCGGGUAGGUACGCCGCCGACGGUAGGUAAACGUUAAACUUAAGUAAGUUAGUACGGCGUGAGACGUGCCGACGGACGACGACGAGGGAGGUAGG
rnacentral:rRNA from 1 species